GGUGCUAUAGCCAAGUGGUAAGGCAAAGGUCUGCAACACCUCCACCCCCGGUUCAAAUCCGGGUAGCACCUCCA
rnacentral:tRNA from 1 species